UAAACUUUGACGUUUAUAAUUACAGCUGGAACGAUACAGAGAAGAUUGAGUACAUGGCCCUAUGCGAGGUGAUACACAAAAUCGUGAAGAUUUUCACAUUUUA
rnacentral:snRNA from 1 species